AUGGAAAUAUUGCCAUUCUUCCAAAGAAUAACAAUACCUCCUAAGUGUUCCGAAGCACUAGACUAGAUAAAGAAAGGAAAACCCAAAUCAUUAGCUAAUCCUAAGUGAUCCAUCAUUCUAGUUUCAAGAAGGGCUAAAAUGAAGGGCUGAUGGAUAUUUACCAUAGACUUACAAUGCCUACGAAAUUCAAUAUUAUUAGCACCCCUGGUGUUCCAUAGUAUGCAGUUCUACAUUACUAGUUUUAUGGCUGGGGAGGUCACCACUGCUAUUUCUUUCUUUUUUCUCGAAUAGUUGGAUUGACCCAGAGGGGAGAGAAGCUUUCUCUUCCUGGAAAGUAGCGUAAUUCUCACUUUGAAGGGAUAUCCUAGAAUAGGGUUUGGAAGGCUUAUUCCUAGUUCUAACUUGUCUAAGUCCUGAGGUAGUAGUGAUAUAACCAUCUUGUUGAGAAACUCUAGACUUACAAGACUUUCCAGCGUGAGAACAUCCGUUUAGGGUAUCCUCAAC
rnacentral:lncRNA from 1 species